GACGAACGCUGGCGGCGUGCCUAAUACAUGCAAGUAGAACGCUGAAGAGAGGAGCUUGCUCUUCUUGGAUGAGUUGCGAACGGGUGAGUAACGCGUAGGUAACCUGCCUGGUAGCGGGGGAUAACUAUUGGAAACGAUAGCUAAUACCGCAUGAUAUUAAUUGUCGCAUGAUAAUAAAUUGAAAGAUGCAAUUGCAUCACUACCAGAUGGACCUGCGUUGUAUUAGCUAGUUGGUGAGGUAACGGCUCACCAAGGCGACGAUACAUAGCCGACCUGAGAGGGUGAUCGGCCACACUGGGACUGAGACACGGCCCAGACUCCUACGGGAGGCAGCAGUAGGGAAUCUUCAGCAAUGGGGGGAACCCUGACCGAGCAACGCCGCGUGAGUGAAGAAGGUUUUCGGAUCGUAAAGCUCUGUUGUAAGAGAAGAAACGGGUGUGAGAGUGGAAAGUUCACA
rnacentral:rRNA from 1 species